rnacentral:lncRNA from 1 species
AAAAGUAAAAAUAUAUUUUAUUACUUUAAAAAAAUGCCACAUAUGCAGAAAAAUCCACGUAGUAGGCAAGUACACCCACACUCUUUGCCACAUCUGCGUUCAAAGGGGUACUGACUCUCAAAAGGCCAAGUUAAGGAGGGAGGGGGGAGGGAGCGUUAAUUAAGACCACGAAUAAUUUAAGAUUGUAACUAAUAAUGUGUGUUAAAUUUAGAGAAUGGUAAGAUAUAUUGUCAUAUAUAUACGGUUUUUCAAUAUAUUUUUUAAAAAAAUAUUUUCAGAUCGUCUACAACAUAUACGACAUAAGGAAUUGACAAGGAAAUGUUUCCUAUAAUAACAACUAAUUAAAACAAAUUAAGGAAAAAUUACUUUUGUUGCUGGCAAAAAGUAUUUUCUUUAUCUUGGCCAAAUAAUUUAAAAUUUUUAAAUGUACUUUUUAAAGGGAAAAAUACUCUUGACUUCGUAAAAACUUGGCCAAACAUGCUCUUCAUCUCCCAUACUUAACUAGUGAAAAAAAGACUUUGUCAUGUGAAAUAUAUUGAAAUUUUUUUGGAGUCCUAAUCUCAAGGUUCUUCAUUAAUUGAAUUCCAUAUCUUUUUGUCGGAGUCAACUGCAUAAUUUCGAUGCAAUCUGAAUUUUCAUCUAGAAAAUGAAGUUAUACAAUUUCAACUUUUGUUGUUUUGGAAAUUUUCAAACAAUCUAGUUUUCCUAAUCAUCUUC